UCUCCGUUGGUGAACCAGCGGAGGGAUCAUUACAGAGUUGCAAGACUCCCAAACCAUUGUGAACGUUACCUAUCCCGUUGCUUCGGCGGGCGGCCCGGGCCCCGCGCCCGGCGCCCCCCGGCCCCCCGUGGGCGCCCGCCGGAGGUAAACCAAACCCUUGAAUUGCAUGGCCUCUCUGAGUCUUCUGUACUGAAUAAGUCAAAACUUUCAACAACGGAUCUCUUGGUUCUGGCAUCGGUGAAGAACGCAGC
rnacentral:misc_RNA from 1 species